rnacentral:rRNA from 1 species
AUCGAACGCUGGCGGCAUGCUUUACACAUGCAAGUCGAACGGUAACAGGCCUUCGGGCGCUGACGAGUGGCGAACGGGUGAGUAAUGCAUCGGAACGUGCCCAGUCGUGGGGGAUAACGCAGCGAAAGCUGUGCUAAUACCGCAUACGAUCUGCGGAUGAAAGCGGGGGACCUUCGGGCCUCGCGCGAUUGGAGCGGCCGAUGUCAGAUUAGGUAGUUGGUGGGGUAAAGGCUCACCAAGCCAACGAUCUGUAGCUGGUCUGAGAGGACGACCAGCCACACUGGGACUGAGACACGGCCCAGACUCAUACGGGAGGCAGCAGUGGGGAAUUUUGGACAAUGGGCGCAAGCCUGAUCCAGCAAUGCCGCGUGCAGGAAGAAGGCCUCCGGGUUGUAAACUGCUUUUGUACGGAGCGAAAAGGCUCCCUCUAAUACAGGGGGCUCAUGACGGUACCGUAAGAAUAAGCACCGGCUAACUACGUGCCAGCCGCCGCCGUAACAC